AACGAACGCUGGCGGCAGGCUUAGCACAUGCAAGUCGAGCGCCCCGCAAGGGGAGCGGCAGACGGGUGAGUAACGCGUGGGAAUCUACCCAUCUCUACGGAAUAACGCAUGGAAACGUGUGCUAAUACCGUAUACGUCCUUCGGGAGAAAGAUUUAUCGGAGAUGGAUGAGCCCGCGUUGGAUUAGCUAGUUGGUGGGGUAAAGGCCUACCAAGGCGACGAUCCGUAGCUGGUCUGAGAGGAUGAUCAGCCACACUGGGACUGAGAGACGGCCCAGAAUCCUACGGGAGGGAGCAGUGGUGAAUAUUAGACAAUGGGCGCGAGCUUGUUCUAGCCAUGCCGCGUGAGUGAUGAAGGCCCUAGGGUUGUAAAGCUCUUUCAUCGGUGAAGAUAAUGACGGUAACCGGAGAAGAAGCCCCGGCUAACGUCGUGGCAGCCGCCGCAGUAAGAC
rnacentral:rRNA from 1 species